AUCCCUGAAUCCAAUGAGUCCUGGCUUCCAGCUUGUUAAACUCAUCAGCUAAGGGGAGUACCUACUGGGCUGUCUAGCUGUAGUAGUUGCUGUAUUAAGUUUAUGAUCUCUGUUUUUUUUGUUUGUUUGUUUGCUUGUUUUUUUUUUUUCAGAUGGAGUCUCACUCUGUCACCAGGCUGGAGUGCAGUGGCAUGAUCUCAGUUUACCGCAACCUCUGCCUCCUGGGUUUAAGCGAUUCUCCUGCCUUAGCCUCCCAAGUAGCUGGGACUACAGGCGCGCACCACCACGCCCAGAAAAAUUGGAACAGAAAAAUAUCUAACUUGCUGAGCAUUUGAUGGGAAAAAGUAAAAGAUAACUUCCAUUUGGUACACAACUUAUUGUACAUAGAGCUAUGAUUUGAGGAGGCAUCUAAUUUCUGAACAAAUUCACCAAGAAAUACCAUCACUUAAAGUCAUUAUCGCAAUCAUGCUGCAGUGAACACUCUAUACAAAAUGGCCAGGUCAUUAAACAUCAAAGAUGGAAAACAAGCCAGCAAUCUCUUCUGUUCUCUUCAAAGUGAAUGCAAAAUAGGCAUUUAAUGAAAAAGAACAAGAAAAACUUUUCCUAUGAAUAAUGAUCUCCUCUGCUUCUAUGGCCACUCUCCCCACUUCAGAACAGCAGCCAUGUGGAGAAUUAAGCAGAAGGUCCCUGC
rnacentral:lncRNA from 10 species